UACGGGGGGGGGCAAGCGUUGUUCGGAAUUACUGGGCGUAAAGGGCUCGUAGGCGGCCAACUAAGUCAGACGUGAAAUCCCUCGGCUUAACCGGGGAACUGCGUCCGAUACUGGUUGGCUUGAAUCCGGGAGAGGGACGUGGAAUUCCAGGUGUAGCGGUGAAAUGCGUAGAUAUCUGGAGGAACACCGGUGGCGAAGGCGGCCAUCUGGACAGAUACUGACGCUGAGACGCGAAAGCGUGGGGAGCAAACAGGG
rnacentral:rRNA from 1 species